GCAUCAGUGGUGUAGCGGUAACAUUGGGUCUUCCCACGAAUCUGCUGUCGUAAGCACAACUGGCCUAGCUCCGGGUUCGACUCCCGGCUGAUGCA